AUUCUAAUUCAAUUGUACUGCAACUCCAGAUCUGAACAGACAUUUGAGUACACUCCUCCAGAGGCACUCCUUAAUUCAAACUGGUUUCAAGGAUCAAGAAGUGCAAGGCUUAAGUAUGACAUCUGGAGCGUUGGAGUUGUCAUGCUAGAGUUGAUGAUGGGUUCUCCCCAUGUUUUUCAGAUAAGUGACCGUACACGUAUUUUAAUGGAUCAACAUCUCGGAGGGUGGAGUGAACAAACAAAGGAGCUUGCAUACAAGUUGAGGUCAUACAUGGAGUUGUGCAUUUUAGUCCCAGGGAUUUCCUCGCAACAUCAUGGCAGUG